rnacentral:lncRNA from 11 species
GUGGUAGCCAAGAGCCGGUCUCAGAAAAAACAAUUCCCAGGGUGCAAAACAUAUUGCAACUUUCCAGGCAACUAUAAAGCAGGACGCCUGGGGAACAUUGAUCGGGACUGACAGCUUCAUGCCUGGACUUUCUGUUAGAUAUAGGUCUGAUUCAAACAACAAUCCCUUCAAGUGAUAGCAAAAGGAGACACAUCUGAAAGAAUGUGGACAUCCUUGGACAUCAUGGAGCCAUACACCAGACAUUUUCAGUAUCUCUGCUCCCACUAUUGCCCAUGAGUUCAGAACAAAUAAAAAAAAUAACAAUUUAUAGUUAAGUAG